rnacentral:rRNA from 1 species
UACGUAGGGUGCAAGCGUUAAUCGGAAUUACUGGGUGUAAAGCGUGCGCAGGCGGCUAUGCAAGACAGAUGUGAAAUCCCCGGGCUCAACCUGGGAACUGCAUUUGUGACUGCAUGGCUAGAGUACGGUAGAGGGGGAUGGAAUUCCGCGUGUAGCAGUGAAAUGCGUAGAUAUGCGGAGGAACACCGAUGGCGAAGGCAAUCCCCUGGACCUGUACUGACGCUCAUGCACGAAAGCGUGGGGAGCAAACAGG